GGGCGGACAGUCCGCGCGGACGUCUCUAGUUUAUUAUAUGAAUUGUAUGUAUUGUAUUUAUCGUAUGUUUAUUGUAUGUACUCAUAUCCGUGACCAGAUUUCAUUUACAAAAGCAGGAUUUUUUUUAAAAAAAAAACCUUCAUCAACAAAUUUUUAACAGAAUUUUUGGUGAGACUAAUUUAUUUUACUCUUGUAGUGCCU